CCUACGGGGUGCUGCAGUGGGGAAUAUUGCACAAUGGGGGAAACCCUGAUGCAGCGACGCCGCGUGAGUGAAGAAGUAUUUCGGUAUGUAAAGCUCUAUCAGCAGGGAAGAAAAUGACGGUACCUGAUUAAGAAGCCCCGGCUAACUACGUGCCAGCAGCCGCGGUAAUACGUAGGGGGCAAGCGUUAUCCGGAUUUACUGGGUGUAAGGGGAGCGUAGACGGCAGCACAAGUCUGGAGUGAAAUGCCGGGGCUUAACCCCGGAACUGCUUUGGAAACUGUGCAGCUAGAGUGCAGGAGAGGUAAGUGGAAUUCCUAGUGUAGCGGUGAAAUGCGUAGAUAUUAGGAGGAACACCAGUGGCGAAGGCGGCUUACUGGACUGUAACUGACGUUGAGGCUCGAAAGCGUGGGGAGCAAACAGGAUUAGAUACCCGAGUAGUC
rnacentral:rRNA from 1 species